AUUGAACGCUGGCGGCAGGCCUAACACAUGCAAGUCGAGCGGAUGAAGGGAGCUUGCUCCUGGAUUCAGCGGCGGACGGGUGAGUAAUGCCUAGGAAUCUGCCUGGUAGUGGGGGAUAACGUCCGGAAACGGGCGCUAAUACCGCAUACGUCCUGAGGGAGAAAGUGGGGGAUCUUCGGACCUCAUGCUAUCAGAUGAGCCUAGGUCGGAUUAGCUAGUUGGUGGGGUAAAGGCCUACCAAGGCGACGAUCCGUAACUGGUCUGAGAGGAUGAUCAGUCAAACUGCAACAGAAGCAGGUGCCAUGCUGCCAGGAGGGGGAGCGGGGGGAAAUAGUGGAGAGGGCGCCACAGCCUACGCGGGCGUCGCGGCGUUGGUGAAGAAGGUGUGCGGAUGAUAAAGUGUUUACAGGUGGGAGAAAGGGAAUUAAUUGAACCUCUUGCUGUUUUGACGUUCCAAAAAGAAUAAGCACCAGCUAACUUCGUGCACGCGGCCGCGAUAAUAGGCGGUAGCGCACCCGUCGGUUC
rnacentral:rRNA from 1 species